GAUGAAGAACGUAGUGAAAUGCGAUAAGUAGUGUGAAUUGCAGAAUUCAGUGAAUCAUCGAAUCUUUGAACACACAUUGCGCCCUUUGGUAUUCCAAAGGGCAUGCCUGUUCGAGCGUCAUUUGUACCCUCAAGCUUUGCUUGGUGUUGGGCGUCUUGUCUCUAGCUUUGCUGGAGACUCGCCUUAAAGUAAUUGGCAGCCGGCCUACUGGUUUCGGAGCGCAGCACAAGUCGCACUCUCUAUCAGCAAAGGUCUAGCAUCCAUUAAGCCUUUUUUUCAACUUUUGACCUCGGAUCAGGUAGGGAUACCCGCUGAACUUAAGCAUAUCAAUAAGCGGAGGA
rnacentral:misc_RNA from 1 species